CUCAGACUUUCAUCAGGACUUGUUAUAUACUUAUAUAUGUGUCUGUUACUUAUUGUCACUUAAUAUUUAUUCUAAUUGUUAUUUACUAAUAUACGUAAAGUGACUGAAAACAUGAUUCAUGAUUACGUUUUUUCUGGAGGUUAGCAGCUAAGCAGAUGGUCAUCUUGAAGACAAGAUAUCGGGUAAACACAUCCUAAUUUUGGGCAUAUUCGAGGCAAACUAGCAGGGCCGGAUAGAUUGGAAGCAGCUGUGUGGAGCCGAG